UGAGAUAUUUCAUUUCUAAUCGAGCAAAUGUCAAAUACACAACGAGGACACCAACACCCAACGGACCCAUACAUGCACAUCCUUGUCAUUGCAUGACUUAGGAUGGAUCACCAAACCACAUCACUCCAAAACUUGGACAUCCAAAUUAGCUGUCACUGUCAGCACCAUGAACUUCUUGAACUAUAUCCUACCUAUGUACACAACGCACACUCCAGAGAACUACUCUGUCAGGCCUAGCAAGAAUCAAGAAUCAGAUGAGGAACAGAUCAGAUCUGCUAGUCGUGAUAGCAUAGGAGCGCGACGACGCAUCGGCGGAUGAUGUAGAGCCUGGCCUUGUGCUCCCUCAGCUGUUGGUUGACAGCUGCANUCAGUUCCCUGGGCCACAAGUGGCAUCAGAGCCCGGACAAUGUCACCGCCGAAGAAGGCCGGCGACGACGACGGCAGUACUUCGCCUCGUGCGAGGAUCGGGGAUCCUCCCGCAGCCGCCUCAGGGCGCGAGCUGGCGGUGCCACGGCAGUACGCGCCGGUCGUGUCGGGGUCCAGCAACGUGCCGACGCUGACAAGCUCAAACUACGCGGAGUGGAGCCUCCUGAUGGAGGUUAGCCUGCAGGCUCGAGGCCUGUGGGGUGCGGUCGUGGGUCUGGAGGAUCUCGACGACGAGUACGGCUACCGCAACGACAAGGGCGCGCUGGAACUGAUCUACCGAUCGGUGCCGGCGGCGAUGCUCCCGGUGCUUCGGAAGCACAAGUCCGCGCAGGCGACUUGGGACGCCAUCUGCAAGAUGCGUGCCGGUUCCGAGAAGCUGCGGGACGCCAAGGCACAAUCACUCCGAUCGGAGUACGAUCAGCUGCGGCACAGACCUGGUGAGUCUGUUGACGAUCUCGCGAUGCGCUUGACAGGCCUCACAGCAAGACUUGCGGAGCUCGGGGAUCCGGAGUCUGACAAGAGGGUGAUCCAGAAGUGGCUUCGGAUCGUCCCCAAGCGCUACUCCCAGCUCGCUCACUCCAUCGACAACCUUGUCGACCUGAACACAACCUCGAUCGAGGAGAUCGUGGGGAGGUUCAAGGCGGCGGAGGAACGUGACGAGCAGGACGCGGAAGAAGAAGGGGGCACCAAGCUCUACCUCACUGAGGAGGAGUGGCGCGCACGCGCUGGACGCCGCGAGAGCGGUGGAUCAUCUGGCGGCGGCUCGAACGGCGGCAAGAAGCCGCGUGGCAAGCCAAGCUACCGCGGCAGGGACGGCGGUCGUGUCGGCAACGGCAAGGGCGGUCCGCGGCGCGAAGGGAACUGCCGCUACUGCGGCAAAGCUGGCCACUGGGCCCGCGAGUGCCGCAAGAAGGAGCGCGACGAGGCCGGUGGCGAAGCUCACGUCGCCGAGGCCGAAGAUGAGGACCCAGCUCUGUUGAUGGUGCAGGUGACGCCGUCUCCGGGGGAGCUGGGCACGGACGAGGAAGGAGACAUCGUCGUCCACCUCAACGAAGAACGCGCCAAGGUAUGCCUCGGUGCGGAGGACGAACACAAGGAGCCAAGGUGGCACAUGGACACAGGCGCGUCCAAUCACAUGACCGGCAACGACACCGUCUUCAGCGAGCUGGAUCGGAACGUGAGCGGCACUGUUCGCUUCGGCGACGGCUCCGUCGUCCAGAUCAAGGGGCGCGGCACGGUGGUCUUCGUCGCGCACGGUGGUCACCACCGAGUUCUCUCCAGGGUCUACUUCAUCCCGCGCCUUCGGACGUCGAUCGUCUCCAUCGGGCAACUCGAUGAGGUGGGGUGCUCCGCCCUGGUGCAGGGCGGGUUCAUGGUGCUGCGCGAUCGGCAGCAGGAUCUCAUCGCCAAGGUGCCACGGACGGGAAAUCGCCUGUACACCGUCGAACUGAAGAUCACGCGCCCGGUGUGUCUAGCCGCCUCGACCGGUGACGACGCAUGGAGGUGGCACGCACGGUACGGCCACCUGAACUUCGACGCCCUGCGGAAGUUGUCUCAGGGCAGCAUGGUGCGCGGCAUGCCCGCGAUCAAGCACGUCGGUCAAAUCUGCGACGGCUGUCUGAUCGGCAAGCAGAGGCGCACACCGUUCCCGGCGGAGGCGAACUACCGGGCCACGGAGAGGCUGGACCUGGUGCACGGAGAUCUCUGCGGCCCAAUCUCACCGCCGACGCACGGUGGGAAGAGGUACUUUCUGCUCCUGGUAGAUGACAAGACUCGGUACAUGUGGAUCGUACUGCUGAGCAGGAAAGACGAGGCGCCGGCGGCGAUCAAGCGCUGGCAGGCCAGCGUCGAGGUCGAAACAAAGAUCAAGCUCCGGGUGCUGCGCACGGACAGAGGAGGCGAGUUCACGUCGACGGAGUUCGGCGAGUACUGCGCCGAUCGAGGGGUGCGCCGUCAUCUGACCGCUCCCUACUCGCCGCAGCAGAACGGCGUCGUCGAGCGGCGAAAUCAGUCCGUGGUUGGCACGGCGCGAUGUCUCUUGAAGGCAAAGGGCGUACCAAAUGAGUUCUGGGGGGAGGCCGUGAACACAGCAGUGCAUCUGCUCAACUGUGCUCCCACCAAGUCCGUGCGCGACGCGACGCCGCACGAGGCGUGGCAUGGAGCAAAGCCCGCCGUCGGCCAUUUCCGAACGUUCGGCUGCAUCGCUCACGUCAAGAUCACGAAGCCUGGACUGAAGAAGCUCGAUGAUCGCAGUCUCCGGACUAUGUUCAUAGGAUAUGAGCACGGCACCUCCAAGGCAUGGCGCGUGUACGACCCCAUCGGCAAGCGCGUCCACAUAACCAGGGACGCCGUCUUCGACGAGCUGGCAAGCUGGAGCUGGGAGACGCCGGAGCAGGAGCCGGGCUCAUUCAUCAUCGACUACGCGGCACCUAUCGGCGUGACUCAAGCACCCGCGUCGCACGGGGAAAAGGACGUGGACACGACGCCCUCGGCAUCAUCACCUGCACCUGCGCUCACGCCGCUCUCGUCAACUGUCACACCUGCGCGGGAGGCGUUCAGGGGCAGGGGGGUGGCGGCCGGAUAUGUAUCCCCACCGGACGGAGCCACGCCGGACUCUGAACUGGAUGGAGAAGAAGCGCCACGCCGGUACCGCACGAUGGACAAUGUCAUCAGCGAGUCUGAUACUGUCACUCUUGAGGAGCUGCACCUCGCCACGGGUGACGAGCCAAGCUCCUUCGAGGAGGCAGAGCCACACGCGGCAUGGCGUGCAGCGAUGAUGGACGAGAUGGGCUCCAUAGAAGAAAACAAGACUUGGACGCUGACAACGCUUCCCGCCGGCAAGCGGCCGAUCGGCCUGAAGUGGGUGUUCAAACUCAAGAGAAAUUCUGCCGGCGAGGUGAUCAAGCAUAAAGCAAGGUUAGUGGCAAAGGGGUAUGUGCAACGCGCAGGUGUGGACUUCGACGAGGUCUUCGCACCAGUGGCACGGCUCGACUCCGUCCGGCUGCUCCUCGCCAUUGCUGCACACUGUGGCUGGGAAGUGCAUCAUCUUGACGUCAAGUCAGCGUUCCUGAAUGGGGAGCUUGAAGAGGAAGUCUACGUCACGCAGCCGCCGGGAUUUGAGCAAGCCGGCGAGGAAGAGAAAGUGCUGCGUCUUAGCAAAGCACUGUAUGGGCUGCGCCAGGCGCCGAGGGCGUGGAACGCCAAGCUUGACACCACACUACUGUCGCUUGGGUUUCAGCGUAGUCCAUCAGAUCAUGCAGUGUAUGUGCGGCGUGACGGCGAAGAAAGGGUGCUGCUGGGGGUGUAUGUGGAUGAUCUGAUCAUCACAGGAUCAAGUACAGAGGUGGUGGCGCGAUUCAAGGAGCAGAUGCUGUCCACCUUCUCCAUGAGUGAUCUGGGCUUGCUGUCUUUCUACCUCGGUAUUGAAGUGCAGCAGAGCUCCAGUGGCAUUACUCUCAAGCAGGCAGCAUAUGCAGCAAAGCUGGUUGACAGGGCGGGGCUCUCAGGUUGCAACCCUGUUGGCAUCCCAAUGGAGCCUCGGCUCAAGCUAAGCAAGAACAGCUCAAAUCCUCCGGUGGAUGUGACCCUUUACCGAAGCAUCGUUGGAAGCUUGCGUUACUUGGUUCACACACGGCCAGACAUCACCUUCGCCGUCGGUUUCAUCAGCAGAUUCAUGGAAGCUCCAACGACUGAACAUUGGGCGGCAGUGAAACAGCUGAUCCGCUACAUUGCUGGCACUCUGCAUUACGGAUGCAGGUAUGAGCGUGGCACGGGGGAGCCACGUCUUCUCGGCUACAGCGACGCUGAUUGGGCCGGGGAUGUCGAUGAUCGAAAGAGCACCUCCGGCAUGGUCUUCUUCCUUGGGGGGAGCGUGGUGUGCUGGCAGUCCCUGAAGCAGAAAGGGAUAGCACUCUCAACGUGCGAAGCCGAGUACAUCUCUGCAACCACGGCGGCAUGUCAAGGUGUUUGGCUUCGACGCAUGAUCAGAGAAUUGCGUGGAGAAGAGAGAAGCACGACGAUCCUCAUCGACAAUCAGUCUGCGAUACAGCUGUGCAAGAACCCUGUAUUCCAUGACAGGAGCAAGCAUAUCGAGACCCGGUACCACUUCAUUCGUGAGUGCGUGCAGGACGGAAGGAUCAACGUCGAGCACGUCAGCACCAACGAGCAGCUAGCGGACAUCAUGACCAAGGCUCUACCUCGAGCUAGGUUCCAGGAGCUGCGCGGGAAGCUGGGCAUCGUCAACCUUGGCAGCUGAUCAAGGGGGAGAUUGUUGGUUGACAGCUGCANUCAGUUCCCUGGGCCACAUCAGCAUCCUGCUCAGCCCUCCUCCUCCCCAGUGCUUCCCAUGGCAAUGGCUCUUCACCUUGUUCAUCCUCACUCUGAGGUAGAUAGUGCGUUUGAACAGGAGGGUGGUUCAGCUUGCUAGGCUCUGCACUUGCACUGCUACCAGAGAUGGAUGUGACUCUGCUCAUCUGCUGUGUGGUUGUGGCCAAGUGCGCAGCGCUUGCGAUGCUUAUAUAGCGUGAAAAUGGCCAACUGGGGAAGAGAGACAGAGUGGCAGAGGGGCAGGCUAGUUGCGCAUAUCAUAAGCUGCUGAUCCAUGGAUCGAGAGAGAGGGAGGCUGGCAAUGGCAUGGCAUCAGGCAUCAGCUAUACCCACCCCUUGCUGCUCCCAGAGGCCACGGCAACAUGCUGCAGCAAAUUAAGCUACCAAGUGGCAUGCACGAUCGAACUCCGAUGACGCUCCGCUCCAGGGGACACUACCUCCGGGGAGCCAGUGCGUUGUCAAAGCCAAAGCGAAACUAUACGGCCGUUUCCAUUGCUGGCUUCUUCCUCUCUCUAGGUUUCAUCCGUGUGUGUGUCGGUCAGUCGGUGUGUGUUGUGGAAGAGAAUAUAUCAUGAUGCGAAAUUCAUACCGGGAACAUGGAUGGACAGUGUUCUGAUUAUUAGUAGUUUUUGUGUUUUUCACUCUGUUCCGGAUUGCAUCCGGAAGACUCUAUGUAACUUUGUUGCUUAAUCAAUAAAAGGCCGUUAUUUCUUCCAAACAACAAAAAAACUGUCUGGUCGGAUCUUGCAGUUGUGUUGUGUGCCCUUGUUUCUUUUGCGGUUCCAUGAGAAAUCCAAGCUGGUGCUCUUGCUUUUUCUGUUGUGUGCCGUUAUUUCUUCCAAGCAAUAUAUAAAUUUUGAAUACAUUUGAAAAAAUUCAAAUUCCUAUUAUGAAAAUAUGUUGAAACUAUUUCAUGUGUGUUUCUUGUUUUCAUUGCUUUUUCAGUCCGGAUUUUAGUACUAUUUCAUUCAGGUUUCAUUUCUAUUUUUAGAUUUUUCAAAUAAGUUUUCAUAUCAUUUUGUUAAAUUAUAUUUCAUGGUCGGGCUGGAUUCUAAAGUGUUCUUUUCACAUAUUUUCUGUAUGAUUUCAUUUCCAUUUCAUCACAAUUUUACAUGUUUCCAUUAUUAUCACCAUACACUCCCUUUUGCAUGUGUUCAUUACUGUUUCAUUUCAUAAUUUAUUAAUGUUUAAUCUCGGGUUUGAUUUUAGUUUCAUUAUAGUUUAUUACAUCUUGUGCAUGUUUUCAUUAUUGGUUCAUUCUGAUUUCAUGAAUGUAUCAUCUUGUAUUUCAUACAAGUUUCAUUAUGAUGCCAAUUGAAUUUAACUUGUGCAAAACAUGUCCAAAAUUGAUGUUGUCUUAAACAUUCAAAUAUCAUGAGCACAAAUCUGCAAACCGAUUGUAAAUUAGAUCAUUGUUUAAAAGUUAAAAGUCUUGCAAAUUUCAGGAUCAAACUAAAAGUAUGGGUGGAUGGAUUAUGGGAAGAAAGAAUAAAAUAUGUAGAAUAUUGCAAUAAAUCAUGCUCUUGAAUAGUGGGUGGAUCCCAGCCAAAAAAAAAGGAUGAAUCACAUAUGAUAAAGUAAACGAAUCAAAUACUUUGUAUGUGAUAUGUGUACGGGAACACAUGGUACACACUAAUUGGCUAGCAGGGCACCGGUAGAAAUGGACUCCGCUAGAAAAUCAUCUCUCCACUGGUUUGAUAAAAACAUUCUGAGGCGGUUUUGUGAGUCAAUUCAAUAUCCAGUUAUUUUGGCCCGUUAGGCUCCACAACCAUUUAUUAAUAGAACACACACUCUCUUGAAAUAGGUUUCCACCUCAUUUUAUAUAUAAAUCAAUCAUACAACAGAUUAUACGAACCAUGCAAAGUGCUGAUAAACUCUCAUACAACACCGAUCCCCGAGAUAACCGGAUCAAGCGAGACACACAUGACUACAUUACCGAAAUAGAGUAUCCGAGGAACUAAGUACAACGCCACACUAGAUCUGACACCACCUACACUCGACAAUGACUCCCUCACAAGGGAAAACAACGCCAAGCAUCGCCGCUGCCGAGUCCAUGAUGCACAAAGCACGGUAGAAGCAUGUGUUUCUCUUUGUCGUCAUGAUAGGCAUAUUUUUUUUUAUAUUGUUGAUCAUUGUUUUGAUUGCUUCAGUUUUUCCUCUCUCCGUCUAGGCAUAGCUUUCAUCUUCUCUUUUUCAAAAAGGCAGGAGUCCUGCAGUCAUUAAGAAGAAAAGAGUUUUUUGAUUAAAUAAGAAAUUUAAGCAAAAACGAGAUUAUCAAUUAAUUAUGAAAAACCGAGCAAAAAAACAGCACAACCUCUAAGUGGCGCACAUAAGAUAGCCCACUCACAUCAUACCAAAGAGGGCAUCACCAAGACAACACGCGGUUAUCGUUGGUCUUGUAUGACUUUGCUCUUUACGGGCGUGAUCUUUUAUGUGUCUGUGCGUUGGUGUUGACUGUGUGCAUUUCAGUUGUACAGAUGCCGGGUAUAUCCAUUGUAUUUGUAUCCCCUUGAUAUUUCAUUAUGAGUUUGUAAAACACGCUACACUAAACCUAGAUUAGUUUUCCUAAAGAAAAAAAAAUCUAGACAACAGCGACCACUCGUCACCCUUCGCCCAUGCUUCUCUCUAUACAGAACUCCCUUUUAUGGGCGGCCUUUAAGAGCUUGUUAUUUUGUUGUUAUCCUAUAUAAAAACGUUGUUAUCAUUUUUAAAUAGAGUUUAUUUAGCGAACAACCAUGUACUCUGGAAAUCAUGAGACCGCAACACCGGGAAGGUGGAGGAGUAGCUAGAAAAGGCCACCACAUGAGCAGAUUCGUCGCUGAAGCUGCGUUCCGUACUGGCAAGCACGGGAAAGGACAUCAAACGUACCGUGUAUUAUUGCAAUGUGACGAUACGACGAUCCUGGAGAAAUCACAGGCGUGUCGCUGCUUAGCUCGAUACCGAUCGCCGUUCUAACAACCUAGCUAAUGGUGGGCUCCAUUUUCAUUGCAGGUUUUUCAUCUGAGGAGAUAUUCUUGUCUAGCUAACUACUGUGAUAUCUUCCAAACGGUUCUAGGACAUGCGUGGUGGUUGGUGAUGCUAUCCAAUCCUGGUCAUCUGUUCAUGGGCAAGGAACCAUGCAUGCAUAUUUAGGAGACUGGAGAGCACGACAUUGGUGUACGUACAAUGGCCGUAACUUGGCCAUGAAUCAUGGAUGUAAUAAAAUAAGUAGUUGCAGGACAAGAGAUUCUUAUGUGGCCUCCAAUGGUGGGUUAAAGUCGGGUUCCGCCCACCAUCCCACGUAUAAAAAAAAGAUAUGGAUACGCCUCAGUCGACUGAGAUUUAACCAAGUCUCAGUCAAGUGACAAAGUAUAUAAGAAUGCAAGAUCAAGGGCAUAUGACAUCGACUUAAAUGUAAUGAAGUCUCGGUCGAUUGAAACUUAGCGAAACUGUAAAAAGAAAAGUAUGCUUGGGACCAAGCUAAUUUGCACUAACUAAAGUGACCAGUGAAUUAACCAAUGUAUCAUGUAAGGCAGCAAGAGGGAUUUCGUAACUGUGGUUACUCGGAACAAAGAGUGCAGAGGAGCCGGUUACAGAGCUGUGCUUAUUGGCUGAACCAGUUUGACUCGUGAGGUAUAGUCAACCAGCUCCACCUCAGGAGCUGCAUGCCCCGACCGACCGAACGACCGAACGCAUUGAUAUUCAUUUCAUCCAAAUAAUUGCUUCUAUUUACUGAAAAAGGAGAAUCACAUCCGGUCUCUGCAUCAUGAUGAUGCAUGCAGUUAUAUUAUUAAAAAUCUGACAUUAAGGUUCCACAAAAGUUCAUAAUCUAAAACAGUUCGCAGAUCGAACUCUUUAAAACAAUGCAAAAUAAAUGCCACAUCUGAUUGGACUGAAUUAACCUACAAUGACUAAACAACUGUCCUAUUAGUUUGCCGUCAUUCAAACCGGUUGAAGAUAGACCGUGCUAUCGUCUAUCACCGGUUGCAUCUAGUAGCCAAAAGCUACUUGGGCUUCAUAAUUGUGAGUAACGAUUACAUACGGAUCUAUGUCAUAGCUCUGAAGAUAACCAACAAAAAAUUGGUAAAGUUUUUCUUAUUACAUAUCAUUAUCAUUUCUGCAGUUCCAUAUAGCUCACAAUAAAGCACAUAGUCCUAUCCGAAUACUACUCGUAAUAUUUAUUUGUACUCCAUUAAGCCACGUCCAGAUAACGUGUUCAUACUACCUGGAGGGCUAAUGUUAAAGGUUGUAUGUAUAGUACGCCAAAGUAGUGCAAGCCGACACUGAAGAAAGAGGUGUUUUAUGCUUUCCUUCUGAUCCCAAAAACAGCAUCCGGUGUUUCCUAUCCAUCUUCGCUUAAUCAAAUUGUCCUUCGUUAGGAUCACUCUCAUGUGAAUGAACCACAUAAAUAUUUUAAUUUUUAAUGGGACUUCAACCUUUCAGAUGUGAAUGGAUGUCGGUAAUGGCCUAGAAUAAAUAAGAUCCAAAUACAUUGAUUUCACAGACAAACUACUACUUGCAGCUAGUUUUAAGUAAAUGGUAUCUGGCUGGUUAGUGAGUUGAACUUUCAUCAACCUACGUACCAAGUGCAACCAGGAGUUCCAUUAUUACCCAACCAAAUAUCAUCUAAAUUGUAUAUUCAAAGGGGUCGAGUGCAAUAUCAUAGCAACAUACUAUUCCUUACAUUGCGUAAUAUUAUAUAUAGAAACAUGGUGUAUAGCCAAGGAUAUCUACCCUAGCCACGUAUCUUACCAAAAUCUAGUAGUGUUACCAUUCCCAACAAUAAAUUUCACCCUAUGAAAAAGGGUAUCUAUCAUAUUCAUUAAACCUUUCCAAAAAGUGAAUCAAAAUGUCUAACUAUAACCUGCGCCAAAGUCUUAGAUUGAAGGUAUUUAUUGCGGAGAGUUUGUAUCCACAUACCUUCCGUCUCAACAGAGACACCUACUAAGAACCUGAAGAGACACCUGCUAAGAAGGCACCUGUUUUUAAUUUUUAAGUUCUCGAUCCCUAACCCACCUUGAUCUUUGGGUCUACAAAUAGUAUCUCAUUUGGCAAGCAUGUACUUCUUGUUGUUAUCAUAACUUUGCCAGAAGAAACGAGAAUGAAAGAAAUUUAAUCUUUUCCGUAACCCUACCGGUACUUCGAAAAAAGAUAAAUAGAAACUUUGGCAGCCUAGUUAGCACUGCGUUUAUUAACACUAAGCAAUCACCAUAAGACAUAAGCUUGCCCUUCCAGCAACUUAAUAUUUUCUCGAUCCUAUCCUCAAUACAUUUCCCCUCCUUAUUUGUCAGCUUACGAUGAUGAAUGGGAAUUCCCAAAUAACUAUAAGGAAGAGAUCCCAUCUCACAUCCGAAUAAUCGUCGAUAUGUUUAUUUUUCUUCCCUGGCCCUCCCAAAGCAGAACAAUUUGCUCUUGCUGAAAUUAAUCUUAAGUCCCGACAAUUUCUCAAAUAGACACAAAAUAUGUUUCAUGUUUCUAGCUUUUGCGAGAUCGAGUUCCAUGAAAAUAAUCGUAUCAUCCGCAUAUUGCAGAAUGGACACUCCUCCAUCUAUGAGAUGCGGAAUCAAACCUCCUAUUAGAUCGACCUCUUUUGCCCGACCAAUAAGAACAACCAACAUGCCAUAAAUAAUGUUAAUUAGGACAGGUGACAUCGAAUCACCCUGUCUUAGGCUCUUAUGUAUCUGAAAAUAAUGACGAACAUCAUCGUUCAUCUUAAUUCCAACACUACCUUUCUAGAUGAAUGAAUCUACCUGUCUCCUCCAGGUUUCAUUAAAUCCCUUCAUACGUAAGGCUUGUUGGAGAAAGGGCCACUUUACCUUAUCAUAGGCCUUCCAGGAAUCCACUUUGAAGAUAACUACGUCAAGUUUCUUCGAAUGAAUUUCGUGAAGAGUCUCUUGUAGGACCACAACCCCUUCUACGAUGUGUCUACCUGGCAUGAAGGUUGUCUGAGAUGGUUGAACUACCGAAUGGGCUUCCUGUGUUAACCUAUUCGUAGGAACCUUAGUGAAAAUUUUAAAGCUGGCAUUAAGCAGGCGUAUCGGUUUGAACUGCUCAAUGCGAAUAGCCUCCAUCUUCUUUAGCAACAAUGUGAUGGUUUCAAAGUUAAGGUGAAAAAGAUGAAGAUGGCCAUUGAAUAAAUCAUGAAACAUAGACAUAAGAUCUUCCUUAAUAAUAUGCCAACAUCUCUUGUAGAACUCAUUUGGAAAGCCAUCCGGGCCUGGAGCCUUGUUUUGUUUCAUUUCUGUUAUUGCAUCCAACACCUCUUUCUCAGAAAUAAUCGCUUCUGACUUGUGUCUUUAAACAAUGCUACCAAGCUCUUUGACCCUUUUUGGUCUUAUCUCUGAACUUGUGUGAUAGUGAUGGCACUUUGAAACUAUUUGACUUUACAUUGCAUGAGCUGCAGUACUGCAUGAGAUGUGCUAGUUGUGAUCUUUGGUCAAAGAUUUUGAUACUGUGAAAUGUUAUAUCUGCACAUCAUCUACAACAUCAAAUCCUCAUAAUAUCUUCAAUCGGUUUGGAUGACGGUCCAAUAGUAGAAUAGGUGGAUAGGUUUCUAGUCCUAUUUUACGCCGGUUGUGGCUUUCUUUUACUUUCAUUUAUUUACUUUCCUGCCUUUUCAUAGGCUGUUUCUGGACUACAAACAUUUACCGUGAUUUUAAAUAAAUGUGGCUGUAUGCAUCUUUCUGAUGCAGCGGCCGGAGGUGAGCCUCCUUUUCUAAAACAAUAAAAAAAUCAAAUCCUUAUAAUAUCUUCGCAGACAAGUCAUUCAUCCGCAUUCUACAGCUAACUAACCAUGUUCACAUUUUCUUUCUGGCAUAAAACCAUGUUCAUCUUGUGCUACUGGUUAAUGGUCUGGAGACCAGAGAGCCAUAGUAGUAGCCAGAAUGACAGGUCUGCACCCUCUACAAAAAACAAACAGGCCUGCACAGUCCAUGCAGACACCUCACUGCACAUUUCUGUCUGGUCAAAUUUGUACACUGAAUUUUCAUUCGGUUUCCGAAGGCAGAGCCAGCGUGUGAUGCCCGUUGCUGAGGGAGCUUCCAAGGUGGAGUGCCGCGGUUUCACAUCUCUGGUAUGGAGCAAACUUCAGAGCUACUGGUCGAAGUACAGCAAGUAGCACCAUGAUUAGCACUAAUCAAGCUGUCCCAACUCCCAAGCCAUAGUUUACACGGAUGGCCUGAACUUGGACGUGAAUCCUGAAGAAAGUACAGCGAGUUGUUGCAGGAUAAGUGUUUCUUACGCGGCCUCCAAUGGCGGGUUAAACGGGGCCUUCACCGACCUCUGUACUAAUUAAAGAACAUCGUGUUCGGAACCCAGCCAAUUUGCACUAAACUAAAGUGACACCUUGAUUAAACAAAGCAUCAUGUGCACUUGUGUUCAGGUUGAGGCAUCCAUGCAUCAAGGCUGUUCAGUGCAUGGAUGAUGUCAUGUAUACCUCCUUGGGCGCAACAUUUCAUCAAAUACCAGCUCACUGUAGCUGCAAUGCACAAGCCUGGAUGUUUUCAUGGAUAAAUAUUUAAGUGUCAGCUUGCUUCAUCAUCCGAUAAUCUAGUCAUGAUGAAAAUAACGACCCAUAAUAGGUCCGGACGAGAUCUGCUCGCAGUGAGCUGUGCGUCCCAAAAAAUCAAGACCAAGAGAUUUGGAGCAGCAAUGCAGCAUGCAUGCAAGUUCCUUGAAGCUUCUCAUUUCUGUCGUCCAGUGCUGUCCGGUUUUACCAAACAUUUUUGUUGCAACUAAAGAUUCAAAAGCUGAUAUAGAAUGAACCAUGAGCAUGCAUGGUGUUUGCUAGAUAAACUGAUUCUGUAUAGUACUGCCGGAAAGCCACUGGUCCUCGCUCCCAUGAGCAAGGAGUUCUUUUAGGGGAUCCCAUGAGCAAUGUAUCUUCAGAAAUCAUAAUUAUUGCUUAUUUGUAUUUUCUAUUGGUUGUGUGUACAGAGUGAUCUUGUCAGUUUCACCUCGAUAUCGCUAAAACUUCCGAGAAUGCACACCUUUGAGAUGGCCCCGUGUGCACAAAUCUUUGAAAAAAAUUAUCCAAUCCAAUUGAAUAAGAGCAUUCCAAAGGAUGCAUAUAUGCGUUAGCAGUUACGUAAGUAGACAGAGAUUCACAACAAUGGGAUGCCAAGAGAUAAACUUUCUGAGAACUUUCACACUAUUUCUUUCUUUAUUUUUCUGAAAUCCUCCACUUCUUAUCGAGCAAAUUCACAACAAAGAUGCAAGACCUAACACAUCGAUACACGCACAUCCUUGCGGUUCCAGGCCUUAGGAGUACCACAUUACACCACACAGAACUUCAACAUCCAAAUUAACCGUCAGCAAAAUCAACCCGAAACUUAUGAACUACACACACACAAAAACUAAUCUGCCAAGUCGCCUAGAUACAAACGAGAACCGAAGUACCGAACGAAGAACAGAACACUAGGGACUAUGGUUAGUCAUGGUAGCAGAGGAGCAUGACGACACAUCGCUGGAUGAUGUAGAGCCUGGCCUUGUGUUGCCUCAGCAUCCUUCUGAUCCCUCCUCCAGAUCCUGACCCCUUGUGCUCUCUGCCAUGGUUCUUCACCUUGUCCAUCCUGGCUGAACAGAGCAGGAGGGCUCCCUGCUCUGCUCUCCCACUACUCUGUCGGAUUAUCGUCUGCCUCUGCUGUGGGCGUGGCCAAGUGUGCUUAUAUAGGACGGUCAAGGCUAAAUGGCCAAAUGACACACACUCUCACAUGAUCCUCACGUCUUUGCCUACUUGCACGUAUAGAAACCUGGUGAGAAAGAGAGAGAGAGAGACAUUGGGCAGAGAGAUGGGGAUGCGAGCAUAUACCCCUUGUAGAAGUGUGGAGCUGCUCCACAGGCACACGCAGCACCCUCUCUUGAGGCGACAACGUAUUCCAAUGCCAGUAAAUUUGCCCCUGUAUAUUGAGCUAACAUAUAUGCGAUAACCAUUCAGUAUCGUCAAAAUGUUACUGCCAUCUUGAGGAAUAAUAGCAGAGGCCGGGGCUAAGCCUCCUUUUCGAAAAAAUCUUGAGGAAUAAUAAUCUUCUUUUCAGCAAAAGGGACAAGAUCAGUAUUUUUCCAUGUAUAGCUAAUUUGGUUGACCUUCUAAAAAAACAGGUUAAUAUGCUCGUGUUGCAGCUAUUUUGAAUUUUGAGCAAAUUUGCAACCUACUCUUGCCGGUAACGCGAAUUCACGAAUGCACGUCUUUGAGACCGGCAUGCAUGUGUAUGAAAUUGUUCGUGUGGACCCCAUUCAAUCGAAUUAAUUACGAACACUCCCUACACUUCCUAAGGAUGCAUAUUUUCAUUCGUAAUAAGGUAGCUAUGUGUUUCCAAUUUUUAUAAAGGAGUCGCAUGCAUCGCACCAGAGGUCGGAGGUUAUCCUUCUUUUCUGAAAAAAAAAAAGCUAUUCAGAGACUUAAGGAUCGUGCUCCAACAGUACAUAUCAUAAAAUGGAAUGCCAAAAGAUAAACCUUUCUUGAAAACUUGCACAAUUCUUUCUUUCAUUUCCAGUCGAGCAAAUGUGAAAUACACAACGAGGACGCCAACACCCAACGGACCCAUA
rnacentral:lncRNA from 1 species